ACACGGUGAAAUUGUGUUUGGCUGGCUGCCUAACGAUGAACGGGCGCGCGGCCGCCGCCUCAAUGCCAAGGCCGCUCUCGGUCACGGGUAAGGUCACCUCCGGCGCGAGCGCCGCCGCCGCCACCACUGCUCCCACCCUACCACGCCUCCGCCGCCUCCAUCGUCAGGUGACGUGCAUCACGUACUCCACGUAGCACCAACCUGCCUGUCGAAUUGGGAUAUAUAUUCCCCCACCACCCCACAUCUAAAUCUACAUAUAAAUGCUUCUGGUAUUGUUAGCUCAUCUGGUGAAGAGAAAAUCGAUAAAACUGCAAGUUGCGAAUGCAGUUCACAACUGUAUGCAACGUGGGACAGUCGGUGGGCAAGGUCAGGGUCAAAACAGACUCGUACGCUGCUGACGUCGCGCGUAGCAACCAUCCCCGCCUAGGGCAGAACAGGGCGGUGAUGAGAGAGGAUUGAUUGGUCGAAGGAAGUCAUUCAUGGUCACGGCCAUGGUCAUUGUCACCUGGUAACAGCCCGGAUGCUGUUACUGCUUCCCGGGGACAGUUACCAAUGGUAACUAGGCAAUUCCAGGUAAACACAGAAAUAAUAUUUGGGGAAAUGCAUACAGCAUUCUAUUUUAAGGCCAGCUAAAUAGAUUACAAUGUGAAACGCAA